UACGGAGGGGGCAAGCGUUGUUCGGAGUUACUGGGCGUAAAGCGUGCGCAGGCGGUUUGUUAAGCGAGAUGUGAAAGCCCCGGGCUCAACCUGGGAACGGCAUCCGGAACUGUCAGGCUAGAGUGCAGGAGAGGAAGGUAGAAUUCCCGGUGUAGCGGUGAAAUGCGUAGAGAUCGGGAGGAAUACCAGUGGCGAAGGCGGCCUUCUGGACUGACACUGACACUGAGGUGCGAAAGCGUGGGUAGCAAACAGG
rnacentral:rRNA from 1 species